UACGUAGGGGGCAAGCGUUGUCCGGAUUCAUGGGGCGUAAAGAGCGUGUAGGCGGCCAGGUAGGUCGGUUGUGAAAACUGGAGGCUCAACCUUCAGAGGUCGACCGAAACCAUCUGGCUAGAGUCCGGGAGAGGAGAGUGGAAUUCCUGGUGUAGCGGUGAAAUGCGCAGAUAUCAGGAAGAACACCCGUGGCGAAAGCGGCUCUCUGGAACGGUACUGACGCUGAGACGCGAAAGCGUGGGGAGCGAACAGG
rnacentral:rRNA from 1 species